rnacentral:rRNA from 1 species
CCUACGGGAGGCAGCAGUGGGGAAUCUUGCACAAUGGAGGAAGCUCUGAUGCAGCGAUGCCGCGUGAGUGAAGAAGGCCUUUGGGUUGUAAAGCUCUUUCGUCGGGGAAGAAAAUGACUGUACCCGAAUAAGAAGGUCCGGCUAACUUCGUGCCAGCAGCCGCGGUAAU